ACCACGGCCGAGGCGCAAGUACAACCCUUCGCUAAGCCGUCGACUAAGAACGCCGGAACAUCGCAGGUUCACACCCGGAGGCACGUAGUCACCGCCUGAACGCCACUUCGUUUGACCUGUCACUUAGAGCGCCUUAAAGACUGCACUGACCGCGUUGCAGCUUCAACGACUGUGCGGGCCUUCCUUUCUUAAUGGGCUUGCUAUCCAUUAGCCGUCCCGCCGGCCUUGCUUCGCGCCGUCAGCUCUCAAGAAACCGGCCGGCCCGGGACCCUGUAUGGUAUAAUUACCCAAUCCUGCUCCGCGUGGAUGGGAAACCCGUCCGUUAAAAGGUGGAAUUCCGUCGCUGCCUGGGCUACUCCUAUUACUGGGGUGAGAAGGCACAGAAUAAGAAGCGAGGGAUAAAAAUCAUAAAUAGGAAUUGUAAAGUUGCAAUCAGGUGUGAACGAGGAAUGGUUGAGAACCGUUCGCGUAUUCAUCCCUUUCGGCUGUCCGGAGUCAACCAACUUCCUGGGUUCAAGGAGGGAUGCGAGGGUGGAAUGGGCGCGGAUACUGACUCAAAAAGCUCUCCAAGUUUAUUUAAUUAUCUUUGUCAUUGCCAUUUGCAAUGCCGACCCGCUGAUUUUGCCAGCUGCAAGGAUGUGUUGAAUGCGGGGCCAAACACAGGACCUUAUUAUAGGGACGCAAGAUUUUAAGGAAGAAGGCGAAAACCAAGGUCAGACAUGCCUUUUCUACGAGUACCAAUAUAGUCUCAAGAAUAGUGCUGGACUGGGACCACUUUCCGUUUUAAUUAUUCAAGAACGGGCCCUGAGCAUUUUUCAUCAUCUUGGUAAUUACAAUUAGAAUAAUUAGAAAUAACUCAUAAAUUGUCAAACCAGAACCGAAGCUAACAGCCAUUUUUUUUGAAUAUGGUAAAAUAUAAAGACUAUUUUAUGUUUGCUUUAAAGCAAGUACAAUUCAGCAAGACGAUGUCCUUAAUAAUCUGUAGAUGUUAAUCGAUGAUAGCUCAAUUUGGUUGGAAAUGUGAGUGUUACUUCUGGCUGUAGCAUAAGUCGCACAAGUUUAAAAUGCCUUUUGUUAACGUAAAAAUUGAACUUCUUGUUUUAUUUAAUAUAUAGAGAAAUUUAAGAUAUUUAAUAUAUAGAGUGUCGAGACGAUCACACCUGUAACACACUCAAUCUCUGAUAUCAAAUAUUAUAUUCAUAUAUUCUCUCUCCAAAACGUUCAGCCCCAAAGGUAUUAUUGUAUAUAUUUUUACUUUUUCACUCUGACCCCUCGCCUCUUUAGGUGAAAACUAUUUGAAAUACUGAAGACCAGUCGAUUCAUUACAAAAUUAUGAGAAAUAAAUAUAAUCGCAACUAGCUGUAGCGGAAUUCAUUGACAUAUCCACCCCGAACGAUAUAUACUCCA